AUUGAACGCUGGCGGCAGGCCUAACACAUGCAAGUCGAACGAGUCGCGGACGUGUGGGUAAUGUCUGGGAAAGUGCCUGAGGGAGGGGGAUAACUAAUGGAAACUGUAGCUAAUACCGCAUACCAUCAGAUGUGCCCAGAUGGGAUUAGCUAGUUGGUGGGGUAACGGGUCACCAAGGCGACGAUCCCUAGCUGGUCUGAGAGGAUGACCAGCCAAACUGGAACGGAGACACGGUCCAGACUCCUACGGGAGGCAGCAGGGGGGAAUAUUGGAAAAUGGGCGGAAGCCUGAUGCAGCCAUGCCGCGUGUAUGAAGAAGGCCUUCGGGUUGUAAAGCACUUUAAGCUGGGAGGCGUUACCCGCAGAAUAAGCAACGGCUAACUCCGUGCCAGCAGCCGCGGUAAUAC
rnacentral:rRNA from 1 species